rnacentral:rRNA from 1 species
GGUGGAGAGUGGCGGAAGGGUGAGUAACGCGUGGGCAAUCUACCUCCAAGUUGGGGAUAAUUCCGCGAAAGCGGGACUAAUACCGAAUGUGGUCGUAUGUCGCAUGGCAGGCUGACUAAAGGUGGGGAUCCUUCGGGACCUGCUGCUGGGAGAGGAGCCGCGUGCCAUCAGUUUGUUGGUGAGGUAACGGCCCACCAAGGCCUACGGCUAGCUGGUCUGAGAGGAUGAUCAGCCACACUGGGACUGAGACACUGCCCAGACUCCUACGGGAGGCUGCAGUCGAGGAUCAUUGUCAAUGCGCGGAAGCGUGAACAUGCGACGCUGCGUGGAGGAUGACGGCUUUCGGGUUGUAAACUCCUGUCAUGAGGGAAAAACGAUCCUGCAAUCAAUAUCUGCGGGAAGUGAUGGUACCUCAAGAGGAAGCCACGGCUAACUCUGUGCCAGCAGCCGCGGUAAUACAGAGGUGGCGAGCGUUGUUCGGAUUUACUGGGCGUAAAGGGUGCGUAGGCGGCUUCGUGUGUCGGAUGUGAAAUCCCACGGCCCAACCGUGGAACUGUGUUCGAAACUGCGGAGAUAGAGUGCAGGAGAGGAGAGCGGAAUUCUUGGUGUAGCGGUGAAAUGCGUUGAUAUCAAGAAGAACACCGGUGGCGAAAGCGGCUCUCUGGAAUGUUACUGACGCUGAGGCACGAAAGCUGGGGGAGCGAACAGGAUUAGAUACCCUGGUAGUCCCAGCUGUAAACGGUGUGCACCGUGUGGGAGGUAUUGACCCCUUCCGUGCCGGAGCUAACGCGUUAAGUGCACCGCCUGGGGAGUACGGCCGCAAGGCUAAAACUCAAAGAAAUUGACGGGGGCCCGCACAAGCGGAGGAGCAUGUGGCUUAAUUCGAUGCAACGCGAAGAACCUUACCAGGGCUUGACAUCUACCUGCAUGCCCCCUGAAAGGGGGGAGGCCUUCGAGGGUGGUAGACAGGUGCUGCAUGGCUGUCGUCAGUUCGUGCCGUGAGGUGUUGGGUUAAGUCCCGCAACGAACGCAACCCUUGUGGUUAGUUGCAACUGCAGGUGAUAAGCCUGCGGGCACUCUAGCCAGACUGCCUGUACAAGCAGGAGGAAGGUGGGGAUGACGUCAAGUCAGUAUGGCCCUUACGCCCUGGGCUGCACACGUGCUACAAUGGUCGGUACAGAAGGAUGCAAUACCGCGAGGUGGAGCUAAUCCCCAAAACCGGCCCCAGUUCGGAUUGGAGUCUGAAACUCGACUCCAUGAAGCCGGAUUCGCUAGUAACGGCGUAUCAGCUACGGCGCCGUGAAUACGUUCCCGGGCCUUGUACACACCGCCCGUCACAUCAUGAAAGCCGUCUGCACCCGAAGUCGCUGAGCCAAUCCCGCCCUCGGGCGGGAAGGCAGGCGCCGAA